UACGUAGGUCGCAAGCGUUGUCCGGAUUUACUGGGCGUAAAGCGCGCGCAGGCGGCUGGUCAAGUCCGAUGUGAAAUCUCCCGGCUUAACUGGGAAACUGCAUCGGAAACUGAUCGGCUUGAAGGUGGGAGAGGGUAGUGGAAUUCCCGGUGUAGUGGUGAAAUGCGUAGAUAUCGGGAGGAACACCAGUGGCGAAGGCGACUUCCUGGCCUGUUCUUGACGCUGAGGCGCGAAAGCUAGGGGAGCAAACGGG
rnacentral:rRNA from 1 species